CCUACGGGGGGCUGCAGUGGGGAAUAUUGGACAAUGGGGGCAACCCUGAUCCAGCCAUGCCGCGUGUGUGAAGAAGGCCCUCGGGUUGUAAAGCACUUUCAGUGAGGAAGAACGCCUGGUGGUUAAUACCCAUCAGGAAAGACAUCACUCACAGAAGAAGCACCGGCUAACUCCGUGCCAGCAGCCGCGGUAAUACGGAGGGUGCGAGCGUUAAUCGGAAUUACUGGGCGUAAAGCGCGCGUAGGUGGCUUGAUAAGCCGGUUGUGAAAGCCCCGGGCUCAACCUGGGAACGGCAUCCGGAACAGUCAAGCUAGGGUGCAGGAGAGGAAGGUAGAAUUCCCGGUGUAGCGGUGAAAUGCGUUGAGAUCGGGAGGAAUACCAGUGGCGAAGGCGGCCUUCUGGACUGACACUGACACUGAGGUGCGAAAGCGUGGGUAGAAAACAGGCUGAGAUACCCUAGUAGUA
rnacentral:rRNA from 1 species